UGGGGAAUAUUGCACAAUGGGCGCAAGCCUGAUGCAGCGACGCCGCGUGGGGGAUGACGGCCUUCGGGUUGUAAACUCCUUUCGCCAGGGACGAAGCGUUUUGUGACGGUACCUGGAGAAGAAGCACCGGCUAACUACGUGCCAGCAGCCGCGGUAAUACGUAGGGUGCAAGCGUUGUCCGGAAUUACUGGGCGUAAAGAGCUCGUAGGUGGUUUGUCGCGUCGUCUGUGAAAUUCCACAGCUUAACUGUGGGCGUGCAGGCGAUACGGGCAUAACUUGAGUACUGUAGGGGUAACUGGAAUUCCUGGUGUAGCGGUGAAAUGCGCAGAUAUCAGGAGGAACACCGAUGGCGAAGGCAGGUUACUGGGCAGUUACUGACGCUGAGGAGCGAAAGCAUGGGUAGCAAACAGGAUUAGAUACCCUGGUAGUCCAUGCCGUAAACGGUGGGCGCUAGGUGUAGGGGCCUUUUGGGGUUUCUGUGCCGUAGCUAACGCAUUAAGCGCCCCGCCUGGGGAGUACNNNNNCAAGGCUA
rnacentral:rRNA from 1 species